rnacentral:rRNA from 1 species
CCUACGGGGGGCAGCAGUGGGGAAUCUUGCACAAUGGGGGAAACCCUGAUGCAGCGACGCCGCGUGAGCGAUGAAGCCCUUCGGGGUGUAAAGCUCUUUCGACGGGAACGAUAAUGACGGUACCCGGAGAAGAAGCUGCGGCUAACUACGUGCCAGCAGCCGCGGUAAUACGUAGGCAGCAAGCGUUGUUCGGAGUUACUGGGCGUAAAGAGUACGUAGGCGGUUUGCUAAGUCUGGUGUGAAAUCUCCUGGCUUAACUGGGAGGGUGCGCUAGAUACUGGCAGGCUUGAGUAUGGGAGAGGAGAGUGGAAUUCCUGGUGUAGCGGUGAAAUGCGUAGAUAUCAGGAGGAACGCCGGUGGUGUAGACGGCUCUCUGGACCAUUACUGACGCUGAGGUACGAAAGCGUGGGUAGCAAACAGGAUUAGAUACCCCUGUAGUC